rnacentral:lncRNA from 10 species
GAAAUGGCGCCCCCUGGUGGCUCCAGAGAGAGCAGCGUUCCAUUCUCCGGGCUGGGAGCUCUGGUCUCAUGCGUCAUGGACAUUCUUGGACCCCAUCACUAACAUGGAAAAUAUUAUUCAGUCCAUGGCAGAGAGAAUGGUAAGAGCAAAGCCCCCGGGGCGUGGGUGUGUUUCUCUAACAUGUUUGAGUUCUUUUUUUUUUUUUUUUGAGACGGAGUCUCCCGCUCUGUUGCCCUGGCUGGAGUGCAGUGGCGCCAUCUUGGCUCACUGCAAGCUCCGCCUCCUGGGUUCACGCCAUUCUCCUGCCUCAGCCUCCCGAGUAGCUGGUAUUACAGGUGCCCGCCACCACGCCCGGCUAGUUUUUUGUAUUUUUAGUAGAGACGGGGUUUCACCAUGUUAGCCAGGAUGGUUUCGAUCUCCUGACC